rnacentral:misc_RNA from 1 species
UCCGGCUUAACGCCGGCAGUCUCCCUAGAGUGCCCAACUGAAUGGUGGCAACUAAGGACGAGGGUUGCGCUCGUUGCGGGACUUAACCCAACACCUCACGGCACGAGCUGACGACAGCCAUGCAGCACCUGUGUUACGGCUCCCUUUCGGGCACCCCUCCAUCUCUGGAGGGUUCCGUACAUGUCAAGGGUAGGUAAGGUUUUUCGCGUUGCAUCGAAUUAAUCCACAUAAUCCACCGCUUGUGCGGGUCCCCGUCAAUUCCUUUGAGUUUUAACCUUGCGGCCGUACUCCCCAGGCGGUGGGCUUAAUGCGUUAGCUGCGACACCGAAGGGCAAGCCCCCCGACAUCUAGCCCACAUCGUUUAGGGCGUGGACUAC